rnacentral:misc_RNA from 1 species
AACUUUCGACAACGGAUCUCUUGGCUCCAGCAUCGAUGAAGAACGCAGCGAAACGCGAUAUGUAAUGUGAAUUGCAGAAUUCAGUGAAUCAUCGAAUCUUUGAACGCACAUGGCGCCUUCCAGUAUCCUGGGAGGCAUGCCUGUCCGAGCGUCGUUUCAACCCUCGAGCCCCCGUGGCCCGGCGUUGGGGAUCUGCCACGGCAGGCCCCUAAAACCAGUGGCGGACCCGAAGGGCCCUCUCCUUUGCGCAGUAGCAUCAGCCUCGCAUCGGGAGCCCUCGGCGUCCUGCCUCUAAACCCCCCACAAGCCCGCUCCGGCGGCACCAAGGUUGACCUCGGAUCAGGUAGGAAUACCCGCUGAACUUAAGCAUAUCAAUAAGCGGAGGCU